rnacentral:rRNA from 1 species
AUGGCGCGCGAGAACCGUGUCCAGAGGAGGACGAGCACGACCAUGAGUUCCCCGUCGUCGUCUCUCUCCGUGCUUAACCGGUGUGCCGACACCCCUCCCAAGCUUCGCCUGCUGCUACCCCGACACGGCAGCAUGGAUCUGACGUCUCCCGGCCGUCCCGAAGCCGCGGCCCAUGGGAUCCGAGCAAAGAAGAGGCCUCGCGAUGGCCUUGGUUCUCCUCUUAUGCAGGCUAGAUCUUGUUGGCCUCAAGCAGCACCACCAACAGGAUCCAGGCGAGCAUGCGCGGCUGCUCCUCCACCGUCAUGUGACUCGUGUAGUGGCCGUUCAUCAGGCGAGACCCAGCUCCACGAUCACCACCACUCACUUGAUAUGCAGGUCCACACGCCAUCGACAAGUCGACCCGCGAAAGAAGCUGGCCCUACCGAUCAGGAUGACAUCGAUGAGGAGGAAGCAAUGGUGUGA